rnacentral:lncRNA from 1 species
UCCUUUUUUGAUUUUGACUAUGGUGGAAGCACUUCCGGCUCCUUCCGACCCAUCAAGCUCAGCCAGGUGGACGGACUUCGACGAGGGGGUCUUAUUAGAGCCUUUUUCCGAAACGGAAAUGGAAGGCCCGUCGGUGAAUUCUUCGAUCCCUGGGGUGGCGCGCGAUGAGGCCCCAGGUGUAGUACAAAACUCUAGCUUGGAAUCAUCAAUGCGCAAUCGCAUUUUCUAACUAGAGAAUGACAAUAGCCUUUUUCUUC